ACUAUGCUGCUUCUCUUCCAGGACUGUGCACUCAACCUCUGUAACAAUGAGGAACCAUCAUGUUUUCUGCAUUUAUUGGAGUUCAUAAAGAAAAGAAAAUAUAGUUUAUUCUGAUGCACAGUCUAGUAACAGAAGAAGCAUUGCUAUCUUGCUGGAAUUGAAGACUGCAGCACCUACCUCAUGCCUAACAUCAUCUGGGAUUUACAAACUCCCUGAUGCUCCCCAAGAGCAUUGACUUCAGUACAGAUCUAAAGGUGUGGAGGAUGCUUUUCAUAAUAUGGAGUUCAGAAAAAGAGGGGUUAUAAAGAUCUUAUGACGAAAUGUAG